UACGUAGGGGGCGAGCGUUGUCCGAAGUUACUGGGCGUAAAGCGUGCGCAGGCGGUUUCUUAAGUCAGAUGUGAAAGCCCCGGGCUUAACCUGGGAACUGCGUUUGAAACUGGGAGACUUGAGUGUGGCAGAGGGGGGUGGAAUUCCACGUGUAGCAGUGAAAUGCGUAGAUAUGUGGAGGAACACCGAUGGCGAAGGCAGCCCCCUGGGUUAACACUGACGCUCAUGCACGAAAGCGUGGGGAGCAAACAGG
rnacentral:rRNA from 1 species